GACGAACGCUGGCGGCGUGCUUAACACAUGCAAGUCGAACGGAAAGGCCCUGCUUUUGUGGGGUGCUCGAGUGGCGAACGGGUGAGUAACACGUGAGUAACCUGCCCUUGACUUUGGGAUAACUUCAGGAAACUGGGGCUAAUACCGGAUAGGAGCUCCUGCUGCAUGGUGGGGGUUGGAAAGUUUCGGCGGUUGGGGAUGGACUCGCGGCUUAUCAGCUUGUUGGUGGGGUAGUGGCUUACCAAGGCUUUGACGGGUAGCCGGCCUGAGAGGGUGACCGGACCCAUUGGGACUGAGAUACGGCCCAGACUCCUACGGGAGGCAGCAGUGGGGAAUAUUGCACAAUGGGCGGAAGCCUGAUGCAGCAACGCCGCGUGCUGGAUGACGGCCUUCGGGUUGUAAACCGCUUUCGCCUGUGACGAAGCGUGAGUGACGGUAAUGGGUAAAGAAGCACCGGCUAACUACGUG
rnacentral:rRNA from 1 species